UGGGGAAUAUUGCACAAUGGGCGAAAGCCUGAUGCAGCAACGCCGCGUGAGGGACGACGGCCUUCGGGUUGUAAACCUCUUUUAGCAAGGAAGAAGCGAAAGUGACGGUACUUGCAGAAAAAGCGCCGGCUAACUACGUGCCAGCAGCCGCGGUAAUACGUAGGGCGCAAGCGUUAUCCGGAAUUAUUGGGCGUAAAGAGCUCGUAGGCGGUUUGUCGCGUCUGCUGUGAAAACCCGAGGCUCAACCUCGGGCCUGCAGUGGGUACGGGCAGACUAGAGUGCGGUAGGGGAGAUUGGAACUCCUGGUGUAGCGGUGGAAUGCGCAGAUAUCAGGAAGAACACCGAUGGCGAAGGCAGAUCUCUGGGCCCGUAACUGACGCUGAGGAGCGAAAGGGUGGGGAGCAAACAGGCUUAGAUACCCUGGUAGUCCACCCCGUAAACGUUGGGAACUAGUUGUGGGGUCCAUUCCACGGAUUCCGUGACGCAGCUAACGCAUUAAGUUCCCCGCCUGGGGGAGUACGGCCGCAAGGCUAAAACUUAAAGGAAUUGACGGGGUCAUAGCUGUUUCCU
rnacentral:rRNA from 1 species